rnacentral:tRNA from 1 species
AACUGGCUGGCUCAGUCAGUAGAGCAUGAGCCUCUUGAUCUCAAGGUUGUGAGUUCAAGCCCCACGUUGGGUG